GACGAACGCUGGCGGCGUGCUUAACACAUGCAAGUCGAACGGAAAGGCCCUGCUUUUGUGGGGUGCUCGAGUGGCGAACGGGUGAAUAACACGUGAGUAACUUGCCCUUGACUUUGGGAUAACUUCAGGAAACUGGGGCUAAUACCGGAUAGGAGCUCCUGCUGCAUGGUGGGGGUUGGAAAGUUUCGGCGGUUGGGGAUGGACUCGCGGCUUAUCAGCUUGUUGGUGGGGUAGUGGCUUACCAAGGCUUUGACGGGUAGCCGGCCUGAGAGGGUGACCGGCCACAUUGGGACUGAGAUACGGCCCAGACUCCUACGGGAGGCAGCAGUGGGGAAUAUUGCACAAUGGGCGGAAGCCUGAUGCAGCAACGCCGCGUGCGGGAUGACGGCCUUCGGGUUGUAAACCGCUUUCGCCUGUGACGAAGCGUGAGUGACGGUAAUGGGUAAAGAAGCACCGGCUAACUACGUG
rnacentral:rRNA from 1 species